rnacentral:tRNA from 1 species
GCUCGGGUGGCGGAACUGGCAGACGCGCAGGAUUCAGGAUCCUGUGGGAAUUAUAUCCCGUGGGGGUUCGACUCCCCCCCCGAGCA